AGUGAACGCUGGCGGUAGGCCUAACACAUGCAAGUCGAACGCGUGGCGGACGGGUGAGGAAUACAUCGGAAUCUACUCUGUCGUUGGGGAUAACGUGGGGAAACUUACGCUAAUACCGCAUACGUUUGAAUGAUCCGUUGUCGGAUUAGCUAGUUGGCGGGGUAAAGGCUCACCAAGGCGACGAUCCGUAGCUGGUCUGAGAGGAUGAUCAGCCACACUGGAACUGAGACACGGUCCAGACUCCUACGGGAGGCAGCAGUGGGGAAUAUUGGACAAUGGGCGCAAGCCUGAUACAGCCAUGCCGCGUGUAUGAAGAAGGCCUUCGGGUUGUAAAGCACUGUCAGCGGGGAGGCGGUACCCGCAGAAGAAGCACCGGCUAACUCCGUGCCAGCAGCCGCGGUAAUUC
rnacentral:rRNA from 1 species